AGAUUGAACGCUGGCGGCAGGCCUAACACAUGCAAGUCGAGCGGCAGCACGGGUACUUGUACCUGGUGGCGAGCGGCGGACGGGUGAGUAAUGCCUAGGAAUCUGCCUGGUAGUGGGGGGAUAACGCUCGGAAACGGACGCUAAUACCGCAUACGUCCUACGGGAGAAAGCAGGGGACCUUCGGGCCUUGCGCUAUCAGAUGAGCCUAGGUCGGAUUAGCUAGUUGGUGAGGUAAUGGCUCACCAAGGCGACGAUCCGUAACUGGUCUGAGAGGAUGAUCAGUCACACUGGAACUGAGACACGGUCCAGACUCCUACGGGAGGCAGCAGUGGGGAAUAUUGGACAAUGGGCGAAAGCCUGAUCCAGCCAUGCCGCGUGUGUGAAGAAGGUCUUCGGAUUGUAAAAGCACUUUAAGUUGGAGGAAGGCAGUUACCUAAUACGUAUCUGUUUUGACGUUACGACAGAAUAAGCACGGCUAACUCUGUG
rnacentral:rRNA from 1 species